GGGCGAACGCUGGCGGCGUGCUUACCACAUGCAAGUCGAACGGAAAGGCCCUGCUUUUGUGGGGUGCUCGAGUGGCGACCGGGGGAGUAACACGUGAGUAACCUGCCCUUGACUUUGGGAUAACUUCAGGAAACUGGGGCUAAUACCGGAUAGGAGCUCCUGCUGCAUGGUGGGGGUUGGAAAGUUUCGGCGGUUGGGGAUGGACUCGCGGCUUAUCAGCUUGUUGGUGGGGUAGUGGCUUACCAAGGCUUUGACGGGUAGCCGGCCUGAGAGGGUGACCGGCCACAUUGGGACUGAGAUACGGCCCAGACUCCUACGGGAGGCAGCAGUGGGGAAUAUUGCACAAUGGGCGGAAGCCUGAUGCAGCAACGCCGCGUGCGGGAUGACGGCCUUCGGGUUGUAAACCGCUUUCGCCUGUGACGAAGCGUGAGUGACGGUAAUGGGUAAAGAAGCACCGGCUAACUACGUG
rnacentral:rRNA from 1 species